GGACGAACGCUGGCGGCGUGCUUAACACAUGCAAGUCGAACGGAAAGGCCCUGCUUUUGUGGGGUGCUCGAGUGGCGAACGGGUGAGUAACACGUGAGUAACCUGCCCUUGACUUUGGGAUAACUUCAGGAAACUGGGGCUAAUACCGGAUAGGAGCUCCUGCUGCAUGGUGGGGGUUGGAAAGUUUCGGCGGUUGGGGAUGGACUCGCGGCUUAUCAGCUUGUUGGUGGGGUAGUGGCUUACCAAGGCUUUGACGGGUAGCCGGCCUGAGAGGGUGACCGGCAACAUUGGGACUGAGAUACGGCCCAGACUCCUACGGGAGGCAGCAGUGGGGAAUAUUGCACAAUGGGCGGAAGCCUGAUGCAGCAACGCCGCGUGCGGGAUGACGGCCUUCGGGUUGUAAACCGCUUUCGCCUGUGACGAAGCGUGAGUGACGGUAAUGGGUAAAGAAGCACCGGCUAACUACGUG
rnacentral:rRNA from 1 species